rnacentral:lncRNA from 1 species
GGGAACCAAAAUCAGUGAGUAAUAUCAUACAAAACUAGCCGGAAUAGGCCAAAACUGCGAGUUUUCAUGAUUUCCCCUUAACUGGACCCCGAGGUUCCCGAAACGUUCGGAUGGCAUCGGGACCCAAAAUCAGUGACUAAUAGCAUACAAAACUGUCCGGAAUAGGCCAAAAACUGUGAGUUUUGACGAGUUCCCCGUAACCGGACCCCGGGGUUGCCGAAACGUUCGGAUCGCAGCGGGACCCAAAAUCAGUG